AAAACAAAAAAAGAAAAGAUUGAAGCCGCGGCAUAUGCUUUGUAUUGAAAUAUCGACACAUAGAGAUAUUCCCCAACACAAUCGCAAUCACUCCUCUCCUCUUCUCUUCUUCUUCUUUAAAGACAAAUCUCUGUGAUUGUGUACGGACAAAAUAGUAUGCAAUAAUGGAGGGCAUACAGCAACGACUAGAGACGUGGAUGAGAGAGCAACGAGCGAAGAUCCUCAAUGCCUCUUCCUCGUGGGGUCCACUGCAAUGGCGAGUGAUGAAGUGGCCAUGGAACAGCAACGACAGAGAGCAGAGGAAGCGGAUCCAGGAGGAGUACGAGCGUCGCAAGAAGCAACUCAAACAUCUCUGUCGUGAUCUCAAGGCUGAGUCUGUCUCUGACUUGCAAGACAUCCUCUGCUGCAUGGUUCUCUCCGAAUGCGUUUACAAGAGACCUGCUGCUGAUAUGGUACGGGCCGUAAAUAAAUUUAAGGCCGACUUUGGAGGGCAAGUUGUUUCUUUGGAGCGUGUGCAGCCUUCUUCAGAUCAUGUUCCUCACAGGUAUCUUUUGGCAGAAGCUGGUGACACAUUAUUUGCUUCCUUUAUUGGAACGAAGCAGUACAAGGAUGUCAUGGCUGAUGCAAACAUACUGCAAGGGGCUAUAUUUCAUGAGGAUAGUAUGGAAGUUGCUGAGGAGAUUGAAACGGUUAAGUCUGAACAACAUGAAAGUCGAAAAGGAAAUUUGGAAAACUUGUGGAAUCCCCUUGAAUCAAAAUCUAAGCAACUAAAAGAUAAAUCUAAACCUGCUGCCCAUCGAGGCUUUUUGGCCCGUGCUAAAGGGAUACCUGCUUUGGAGUUGUACAGACUUGCUCAGAAGAAGAAGCGAAAGCUUGUAUUAUGUGGACAUUCACUUGGUGGAGCAGUAGCAACAUUAGCUACCCUUGCCAUUUUGAGGGUUAUAGCUGCCUCAUCAUCUUCAAAGGAGAGUGAAAAAGUUUUAGUUAAAUGUAUAACAUUCUCCCAGCCCCCAGUUGGAAAUGCUGCUUUAAAAGACUAUGUUAAUAGAAAAGGAUGGCAUCACUAUUUCAAGAGUUAUUGUAUUCCAGAAGAUCUGGUGCCUCGUAUCUUGUCUCCCGCGUAUUUUCAUCAUUAUAAUGCACAGGCUCAAUCAAUGCCUUCUGAUGCUGAAUCUACUAAUAUAUCUAUGUUAAAACGUGAGGAAGGGAUAGAUAAGCUAAAAGAGAAUGAGGGGGAGCAGUUGGUUUUGGGAUUGGGUCCUGUACAGAGUUCAUUUUGGAGGCUUUCAAGGCUUGUUCCUUUGGAGGGUGUAAUGAGACAGUUGAAUAAAUACAGAGGAAAACGAUUUGUACCUGCGGAAACGUCUACGUCUGCUGAUUCUGUUGCAACAUCUUUGGUUGAAGAUGAAGUAGUUGGGCCACAGUCUCUUGUAAUCCAAGAGGGUUCAGAUGGCAUUUCCCUUAAGCCAUUUUCUGACACUGAUAAAGCGCCACCAGAGGUAGCAACAAGUGGAAAGGUAGCAGAACAAGGUGACAUUAAAGGUGGGGAUAGCAAGAGCUGGCGUAGAGUGCCCUAUUUACCUUCUUAUGUACCUUUUGGGCAGCUUUAUCUCUUGGGGAAUUCAUCAGUAGAAUCACUAUCGGGUGCUGAGUAUUCGAAGUUGACAUCGGUCAGAUCUGUGAUUGCGGAAUUGAGGGAACGGUUUCAAUCGCAUUCUAUGAGGUCAUAUAGGCUCCGAUUUCAGAGAAUCUAUGACCUAUGCAUGGGUGAUAAUCCUUCAUCUUUCUUGGGAAUUGAGCAACUGCAGCAGUAUACACAUCUGCAGCAGUGGCUUGGUCUUUCAGUUGCCUCUGUAGAGCUUGGGCAUAUUGUAGAGUCUCCAGUUAUUCGCACAGCUACUUCAAUUGCUCCUCUUGGAUGGAAUGGAGUACCUGGCGGGAAGAAUGGAGAACCUUUAAAAGUCGAUAUCACUGGAUUUGGCUUGCAUCUGUGUACACUGGUUCACGCUCAAGUGAAUGGUAACUGGUGUUCUACUAGAGUGGAAUCAUUCCCCUCAGUUCCGAAUUAUUCUUCAAAUUGUGAAAUGGAGCGAGAAUUACAACAAAUGCGAGUUUUGGUUGGAGCGCCAUUGAGACAACCACCAAAGCAUCAGAUAGUGGCAGAUCCAUUGAUGCCUUUGUUUUCUUCUAUUGAUUCAGAUGCUGCCCAUCUCAAUCAUGAAAAUACUUCAGGUUCCUUUCAUGAUGAAAAAAUUAUUCGCCCUGAAGGUUUGAAUGAUUUUUUUGUGUUCUGCACCAGUGAUUUUGCUACUGUCUCUAAGGAGGUUCAUGUCAGAACUCGUAGGGUCCGGUUACUUGGCCUUGAGGGUGCUGGUAAAACUUCUCUUCUUAAGGCAAUACUUAGUCAAAGUAGAGUAAACACUAAUGCCUAUGUUGAGAAUAUGCUUCCUGAGAGUGAUGAUCAAGAAGGGAUUGCUGGUGGUUUAUGCUACUGUGUUUCAGCAGGGGUAAAUUUGCAGGAUCUGAAUAGGGAAGUUUCUCGUAAGAGUAAGGUGGAGGAUAAGGUUGUGGGUUUGAGAUCUACUUGCAUGUAUAACUUAGAAUUAAAGAAAAGUAGUGGCCCAGGCAUUUUGACCCUGAUUAUCCUUCUUGGACAUGCUUGAUAUUAGUUCACUUGUGGGGAGCCAAUUUACUGUAGUUCACAGGAUACUUUCUCCUGCCAUAAAGAAUGGGUGGAGGUGGACAUUCUUCUACCAGAGGUUGUUAAGUUGUUUACAUUGAAAAGGACCUAGUUGAAGUGUUUAUAUUUACCAACUCAUGAAGCAAUGUAGAUGCUUCAUGCUAGUUAAUGAUUAUGAUGAGAUAAGGCCUCUUAACAUUAGAAUAGAUGGAGUUUAGGCAGAGUAUGCCCUCAGUUUCAGAGAUGAACUAUGGAUGGGAAUUCGUGAUCUUAGUCGGAAGACAGAUCUGAUUGUUCUUGUGCAUAACCUGUCCCAUAAAAUACCUCGAUACAAUCACUCAGAUUUGUCACAACAGAAGCCAGUCCUUUCUCUUCUGUUGGAUGAGGCCAAAUCUCUAGGAAUCCCUUGGGUUCUUGCCAUAACAAACGAAUUUUCUGUCAGUGCACAUCAGCAAAAAGCAGCAAUAGAUGCUGUGGUGCAGGCAUACCAAGCAUCUUUAAGCUCAACUGGAGUAAUCAAUUCCUGUCCAUUGCCUGGUGUUGCAAGUGCUUCUUUGUCUUGCGGUGCAACUGGCGGAGAUUCUGAUGGGUGGAUGGGUGCUAAAAAAGUUCUUUUUGCCCCGAUCAAUCUUGUUUGGAGGCCUUUCCGGUAGAAAGAUAUUGUUCUUUCAGUGGAGGGUGUUGCCUCUCUUUGUCAGCUAAUCCACCGUGUGCUUCGAAGCCAAGAGGAAGACUCUUUCCAGGAACUUGCUAAAGAUAGACUUAUGGUGGAGUUAGCACGAGAACAAGCAAUGGUUAUAGAAGCAAGUAGAGAUGCUCUGGCCAAGGCAUCCUCCUUAACAGCUGCAGCUGUGGGUGCUUCCCUCGGUGCUAGUCUUGGUAUUGUCUUGGCUGUUGUGAUGGGUGCAGCAUCUGCCUUGAGGAAGCCCUGAGAAUUUACUCCAUUUUCUUUUUAAGUUUAAUUUUUCUAGAAUUGAGAGUUUGGUAAUUUUAUUUUUAUAGUUUUCCCACGUGGCCAUUUUUAUCAAUACCAGAGUUAAUCAUCUUACAAGGCAUUUCUUCAUAUAGGCAAAGGGGCUUAGGCUUCUCUUUGAAGUUCUAUUUGUUUAUUUAAAGUUUUGAACCUAUGCCAUCUCUUCUGGAUGUACAGAUUGUAUGUGUUGGUGAACAAUGUCACUGAUGAUUUCAAGAA